rnacentral:rRNA from 1 species
UGAUAUGAACCGUUAUAACCGGCGAUUUCCGAAUGGGGAAACCCAGUGUGAUUCGUCACACUAUCAUUAACUGAAUCCAUAGGUUAAUGAGGCGAACCGGGGGAACUGAAACAUCUAAGUACCCCGAGGAAAAGAAAUCAACCGAGAUUCCCCCAGUAGCGGCGAGCGAACGGGGAGCAGCCCAGAGUCUGAAUCAGUGUGUGUGUUAGUGGAAGCGUCUGGAAAGGCGCGCGAUACAGGGUGACAGCCCCGUACACAAAAAUGCACAUGCUGUGAGCUCGAUGAGUAGGGCGGGACACGUGGUAUCCUGUCUGAAUAUGGGGGGACCAUCCUCCAAGGCUAAAUACUCCUGACUGACCGAUAGUGAACCAGUACCGUGAGGGAAAGGCGAAAAGAACCCCGGCGAGGGGAGUGAAAAAGAACCUGAAACCGUGUACGUACAAGCAGUGGGAGCACGCUUAGGCGUGUGACUGCGUACCUUUUGUAUAAUGGGUCAGCGACUUAUAUUCUGUAGCAAGGUUAACCGAAUAGGGGAGCCGAAGGGAAACCGAGUCUUAACUGGGCGUUAAGUUGCAGGGUAUAGACCCGAAACCCGGUGAUCUAGCCAUGGGCAGGUUGAAGGUUGGGUAACACUAACUGGAGGACCGAACCGACUAAUGUUGAAAAAUUAGCGGAUGACUUGUGGCUGGGGGUGAAAGGCCAAUCAAACCGGGAGAUAGCUGGUUCUCCCCGAAAGCUAUUUAGGUAGCGCCUCGUGAAUUCAUCUCCGGGGGUAGAGCACUGUUUCGGCAAGGGGGUCAUCCCGACUUACCAACCCGAUGCAAACUGCGAAUACCGGAGAAUGUUAUCACGGGAGACACACGGCGGGUGCUAACGUCCGUCGUGAAGAGGGAAACAACCCAGACCGCCAGCUAAGGUCCCAAAGUCAUGGUUAAGUGGGAAACGAUGUGGGAAGGCCCAGACAGCCAGGAUGUUGGCUUAGAAGCAGCCAUCAUUUAAAGAAAGCGUAAUAGCUCACUGGUCGAGUCGGCCUGCGCGGAAGAUGUAACGGGGCUAAACCAUG